rnacentral:rRNA from 1 species
UGGGGAAUAUUGCACAAUGGGCGGAAGCCUGAUGCAGCAACGCCGCGUGCGGGAUGACGGCCUUCGGGUUGUAAACCGCUUUCGCCUGUGACGAAGCGUGAGUGACGGUAAUGGGUAAAGAAGCACCGGCUAACUACGUGCCAGCAGCCGCGGUGAUACGUAGGGUGCGAGCGUUGUCCGGCUUUAUUGGGCGUAAAGGGCUCGUAGGUGGUUGAUCGCGUCGGAAGUGUAAUCUUGGGGCUUAACCCUGAGCGUGCUUUCGAUACGGGUUGACUUGAGGAAGGUAGGGGAGAAUGGAAUUCCUGGUGGAGCGGUGGAAUGCGCAGAUAUCAGGAGGAACACCAGUGGCGAAGGCGGUUCUCUGGGACUUUCCUGACGCUGAGGAGCGAAAGCGUGGGGAGCGAACA